GAGUGGCUGGUGGGCUAGUGGCCCAUGCCAGAGUAAACCAGAGCCCCCAGCCAUUGCCUUGCCUCCUAGCCCGCAGGCUUCCAGCACUGAGGCGGACUGCACAAAG
rnacentral:snoRNA from 1 species